GACGAACGCUGGCGGCGCGCCUAACACAUGCAGGUCGAACGAGCGAGCGAGAGCUUGCUUUCUCGAGCGAGUGGCGAACGGGUGAGUAACGCGUGAGGAACCUGCCUCAAAGAGGGGGACAACAGUUGGAAACGACUGCUAAUACCGCAUAAGCCCACGGCUCGGCAUCGAGCAGGGGGAAAAGGAGCAAUCCGCUUUGAGAUGGCCUCGCGUCCGAUUAGCUAGUUGGUGAGGUAACGGCCCACCAAGGCGACGAUCGGUAGCCGGACUGAGAGGUUGAACGGCCACAUUGGGACUGAGACACGGCCCAGACUCCUACGGGAGGCAGCAGUGGGGAAUAUUGCACAAUGGGGGAAACCCUGAUGCAGCGACGCCGCGUGGAGGAAGAAGGUCUUCGGAUUGUAAACUCCUGUUGUUGGGGAAGAUAAUGACGGUACCCAACAAGGAAGUGACGGCUAACUACGUG
rnacentral:rRNA from 1 species